rnacentral:rRNA from 1 species
UGGGGAAUAUUGCACAAUGGGCGAAAGCCUGAUGCAGCAACGCCGCGUGAGUGAUGAAGGCCUUCGGGUUGUAAAGCUCUGUCUUUUGGGACGAUAAUGACGGUACCAAAGGAGGAAGCCACGGCUAACUACGUGCCAGCAGCCGCGGUAAUACGUAGGUGGCAAGCGUUGUCCGGAUUUACUGGGCGUAAAGGAUGCGUAGGCGGAUUUUUAAGUGAGAUGUGAAAUACCCGGGCUUAACUUGGGUGCUGCAUUUCAAACUGGGAAUCUAGAGUGCGGGAGAGGAGAAUGGAAUUCCUAGUGUAGCGGUGAAAUGCGUAGAGAUUAGGAAGAACACCAGUGGCGAAAGGCGAUUCUCUGGACCGUAACUGACGCUGAGGCAUGAAAAGCGUGGGUAGCAAAACAGGAUUAGAUACCCUGGUAGUCCACGCCGUAAAACGAUGAGUACUAGGUGUAGGAGGUAUCGACCCCUUCUGUGCCGCAGUUAACACAAUAAGUACUCCGCCUGGGAAGUACGAUCGCAAGAUUAAAAACUU